rnacentral:rRNA from 1 species
UUGAACGCUGGCGGCAGGCCUAACACAUGCAGGUCGAACGGUAACAGGGAGAAGCUUGCUUCUUUGCUGACGAGUGGCGGACGGGUGAGUAAUGUCUGGGAAACUGCCUGAUGGAGGGGGAUAACUACUGGAAACGGUAGCUAAUACCGCAUAACGUCGCAAGACCAAAGAGGGGGACCUUCGGGCCUCUUGCCAUCGGAUGUGCCCAGAUGGGAUUAGCUAGUAGGUGGGGUAACGGCUCACCUAGGCGACGAUCCCUAGCUGGUCUGAGAGGAUGACCAGCCACACUGGAAUUGAGACACGGUCCAGACUCCUACGGGAGGCAGCAGUGGGGAAUAUUGCACAAUGGGCGCAAGCCUGAUGCAGCCAUGCCGCGUGUAUGAAGAAGGCCUUCGGGUUGUAAAGUACUUUCAGCGGGGAGGAAGGGAGUAAAGUUAAUACCUUUGCUCAUUGACGUUACCCGCAGAAGAAGCACCGGCUAACUCCGUG